rnacentral:misc_RNA from 1 species
CAUUGUCGUGACCCUGACCAAAAUAGACCGUGAACGCGUAAUCCAGCCCGCCGUCGGCGACUCGCUUCGCCGUUCGGCCAAGUCCUCGACAACCUCCUCUCCUCGGAGCGGUGGCUCGGGGCAAAAAGAACCCACGGCGCCUAAGGCGUCAAGGAACACUGUGCCUAACUCGGGGACGCGUCUGGCUUGCUGGCCGCCCCCCGUGUUGCAAAGCUAUAUAAUCCACACGACUCUCGGCAACGGAUAUCUCGGCUCUCGCAUCGAUGAAGAACGUAGCGAAAUGCGAUACCUGGUGUGAAUUGCAGAAUCCCGCGAACCAUCGAGUCUUUGAACGCAAGUUGCGCCCGAGGCCAUUCGGCCGAGGGCACGCCUGCCUGGGCGUCACGCCAAACACGCUCCCAAACCCCCUCAUCGGGAA